rnacentral:rRNA from 1 species
GACGUAGGGCGCGAGCGUUGUCCGGAUUUAUUGGGCGUAAAGCGCACGUAGGCGGCUUGGCAAGUCGGAUGUGAAAUCCCUCGGCUCAACCAAGGAAGUGCAUCCGAAACUGCCGAGCUUGAGUACUUAAGAGGAUCGCGGAAUUCCCGGUGUAGAGGUGAAAUUCGUAGAUAUCGGGAGGAACACCAGUGGCGAAGGCGGCGAUCUGGGAAGAUACUGACGCUGAGGUGCGAAAGCGUGGGGAGCAAACAGG